ensembl:snRNA
AAAAGGGGCCUUCUGUUGUGAGUAGCACAUGUAGUGCAACUCAACUGUUCUUCAUGUGGAAUCGGCAUCAAGAGAUUUCAGAAGCAUAAUUUUUUUGGUAUCUGGGCCGUUGGUGAUCAUUGGUCCUGGUGCCUGU